rnacentral:rRNA from 1 species
UACAGAGGUCUCAAGCGUUGUUCGGAUUCAUUGGGCGUAAAGGGUGCGUAGGCGGCGUGGUAAGUCGGGUGUGAAAUCUCGGAGCUUAACUCCGAACUGCAUUCGAUACUGCCGUGCUUGAGGACUGGAGAGGAGACUGGAAUUUACGGUGUAGCGGUGAAAUGCGUAGAUAUCGUAAGGAAGACCAGUGGCGAAGGCGGGUCUCUGGACAGUUCCUGACGCUGAGGCACGAAGGUCAGGGAGCAAACGGG